AUUGCUCCCUGCUGGUUCCUCUUGUGAAUGUCCCUGGCUACAACCCUGUUACCUUCCUUCAGUUUUGCCAGUCUGUUACCUGUUAUCAGUUCUCUGUUUUUUUUCUGGGCUUGAUUUCUGAGGAUUGUUGCUCAUGCUCAGUAUGCUGCCAGUGUGCAUGUUCCCUUCAAGCCCCCUUCCACUCAGUGGCAUGUGACAUUAUUGUACAUUGGACUAACUGAUGAUGCUGGCAGGUAGAAGGUCCUGCUGGAGACUUUUAAGAGGGCUUUACCAGAUGAGAAGUGGGGCCAACACAGAGACAUAUACAGCUACAGUAAUUUAAAAAAAUCACUAUUUACCCAGACAUGGUUUGUAAUAUUUGGAGGAUGCUAGCGUACCCAAAAAAGGUAUGUGCACUCUGCCCCUUAUAGACAGCAACCUAAAUACAGAGACUUGAGCCUGGGAUGAUCCUGUGAUGCCAGUGAUUCACUCCCAUUAAAAAAAGUCAUGUCACUAAA